rnacentral:snRNA from 1 species
AGAGCGAACGUAAAAACACUAAC